GAAGUUACACGAAGGUGCAUUGUAGUCGCAUUGUCUGUGCUCCAAAAAAAAAAAACCCCCAGUUUCUAUUCAGGCAAUACAACUGCAGUGCAAGCUUCGUGUGACU
rnacentral:pre_miRNA from 1 species